rnacentral:rRNA from 1 species
GACGUAGGGCGCGAGCGUUGUCCGGAUUUAUUGGGCGUAAAGAGCUCGUAGGCGGCUUGUCGCGUCGACUGCGAAAACCCGCGGCUCAACUGUGGGCUUGCAGUCGAUACGGGCAGGCUGGAAUUCGGUAGGGGAGACUGGAAUUCCUGGUGUAGCGGUGAAAUGCGCAGAUAUCAGGAGGAACACCGGUGGCGAAGGCGGGUCUCUGGGCCGAUACUGACGCUGAGGAGCGAAAGCGUGGGGAGCGAACAGG